ensembl:lncRNA
GAGAGGCCAGAGGCUGCUUAGCUCUUAAAUAGCAGCUCCUCUACCCAGUGCGUCUAACCUGGAGCCAGAUCACUAGUGGACAGAGAAGGAACCCACUUGCAGUCAGGGAGAGUGUGGGACUGCGGGCAGGAGAAGGCAUUUCUGUUGCUAAGGAGGAGGAAGAAGGGCAUUUUGGAAGCAGCAACAGCUAACUUGGACCUGGGAGGAUAGGCUGGACCUGGAGAGCUGGACUGAGGUGCCUCGAGGCUGGUGUCCUCCCAGCCACCCCUCUUUAGACUCUAAACUUAACGGGAGGGAAAAGGACUCUCCAUUUGCUCUUCCCUGGUGCCCUGAGCUAAACACACAGGGAGCUUGGGUUCAAUCCCUGAUUGGGUAAAUAAGAUCCCAUAUGCCUUGGGGAAAAUGAGCCCACGAGCUGCCAACUACAGAGCCAGUGCACUCUGGAGCCCUCCGGCCACAGCUGGAGAGAAGCCCGCAUGCCACAUGAAGAUCCUAUGAGCUACAUCUAAGAGUUG